rnacentral:rRNA from 1 species
GAUGAACGCUGGCGGCGUGCCUAAUACAUGCAAGUCGAGCGAACAGACGAGGAGCUUACUCCUCUGACGUUAGCGGCGGACGGGUGAGUAACACGUGGAUAACCUACCUAUAAGACUGGGAUAACUUCGGGAAACCGGAGCUAAUACCGGAUAAUAUAUUGAACCGCAUGGUUCAAUAGUGAAAGACGGUUUUGCUGUCACUUAUAGAUGGAUCCGCGCCGCAUUAGCUAGUUGGUAAGGUAACGGCUUACCAAGGCAACGAUGCGUAGCCGACCUGAGAGGGUGAUCGGCCACACUGGAACUGAGACACGGUCCAGACUCCUACGGGAGGCAGCAGUAGGGAAUCUUCCGCAAUGGGCGAAAGCUUGACGGAGCAACGCCGCGUGAGUGAUGAAGGUCUUCGGAUCGUAAAACUCUGUUAUUAGGGAAGAACAAAUGUGUGAGUAACUAUGCACGUCUUGACGGUACCUAAUCAGAAAGCCACGGCUAACUACGUG